AAUAUACGUCAUUUCACCUCCUUCAUCCCGAGAUACCCGCUGAACUUAAGCAUAUCAAUAAGCGGAGGAAAAGAAACCAACAGGGAUUGCCUCAGUAACGGCGAGUGAAGCGGCAAAAGCUCAAAUUUGAAACCCUCGGGAUUGUAAUUUGAAGAUUUGGCAUUGGAGAAAGCUAACCCAAGUUGCUUGGAAUAGUACGUCAUAGAGGGUGACAACCCCGUCUGGCUAACCGUUCUCCAUGUAUUGCCUUAUCAAAGAGUCGAGUUGUUUGGGAAUGCAGCUCAAAGUGGGUGGUAAACUCCAUCUAAAGCUAAAUACUGGUGAGAGACCGAUAGCGAACAAGUACUGUGAAGGAAAGGUGAAAAGAACUUUGAAAAGAGAGUGAAAUAGUAUGUGAAAUUGUUGAUAGGGAAGGAAAUGAGUGGAGAGUGGCCGAGGUUUCAGCCGCCCCUCGUGGGCGGUGUACUGCCGACGCCGAGUCAUCGAUAGCGAGACGAGGGUUACAAAUGGGAGCGCCUUUCGGGCGUUCUCCC
rnacentral:rRNA from 1 species